CUUUUUUAUUUUAUUUAUUUUUUUUUUGAGACAGGGUCUCACUUUGUCACCCAGGCUGGAGAGCAGUGGUGUGUUUUCAGCUUACUACAGCCUCUACCUCCUGGGCUCAAGUGAUCUUCCCACUUAGCCUCAAGUAGCUGGGACUACAGGCAUGUACCACCAUGCCCAGCUAAUUUUUGUGUUUUUUGUAGAGAUGGGAUUUCACCAUGUUGCCCAGGCUGGUCUUGAACUCCUAGGCUCAAGCGAUAAUGCCCGCCUCGGCCUCCGAAAGCGCUGGGAUUACAGGCAUGAGCCACCAUGCCUGGCCUCUUUUUAAACACUUUUUGCUUACACACUGCUUUUGGAGUAAAAAGAACAUGGAGUCUUCAGUCAUAUCCUCCUGAAUUUAAUGCUAAGGAGCUACGUAACAUUUCUGAAAUCUUCCCAUGUUUAUUAAUAAGAGAAUAAUUCUACCUACCUUGUAGGGUUAAAGGUUGAAUACAAUAGCAUAGAAGAAUUCGCCCAGCACCUAGUAGGCUGUCAGCGCAUAUUACCUUUCCUUUCCCCAACGCUCCCUAAAGCUAAGUUCAUUGGCCCAUCAUGUAGAGUAACGACCACGGGCGGUGAAUUACUUGUGAUGCUCUUCCAAGGACUGAAUGAGGAGAGACAUUUUAAUCAAAGCAGCAGCAAAGCUUUUGUAGUGAUGAACAUACAAUUAGUGACCUCCUCCUAUCAGGGAUAAUCAGCAGUGGGACUGGCAGAAUUGGAGUUUUUUUACAUGGGUGAUCUGGGCACAGAUAUUCAGUCAGCUCUGUGUCCCUUAGAACUGGGAGGCAGGAGGCAUUUGCAGCUUGGUCACAAACUGGGUAGCCUGCAUUCAUCUGACAGGCCUCCAGAACACAAUGUCAGGAGGGAGGUUUAGCACUGGGGAGACAAUUAUGAGACUCUCAGAGGUGAAAAAGAGGAUUCUGCUCACUGCCCAGAAAGAGAGAAUAUGGCAUAAAAAGGGGGUGGUAAAAUAUGUUGCCUGACACACACCAAAAAGGCCUGUCAGUUACUGAGGUCCCAUCGCUGUCUCAGGCUUAGACUGCAUGAGAGAAUGCAUUUAGGGGGAAAGAUGUAUAGCUUAGCCCCAGUGGCUACUGGGGUGAAUCUCCAGGGCUCAAAGCAUGAGUUACAGUUUGUCUUUAGUUUACUUAAUAAGCUUCCUGGACUGUCUGAUUUCUUUACAGCCUAGAACAGAGGUUAACGAGUCUCCCAGUGCAGUGGAUCCAAAGUUGGUGGGCUUCAGUUUGGGAGCAAAGAGCUCCCCGUUUGGGACUCAGUUGAUGUCAUCAUUUUAUGGCAGCAUAUUAACACAGAGUAAAUAGUUUAUUCCCCAGAGUACUCACCCAUUCCCUCAGAGGUAAGUGUCAACUCCUUCAAGAGAGGUCUGCUCACCUGACCUCCCAAUUCUCAAGAAGCCCCACCUCAGACAUUCUCACAGCCUUUCUCUGGCCCUCAUAGGUCUUUCUUUGUCCCAUUCCCCGAUGACAAUGCCUUCAUGACAAAGAUGAAAUGAAGGUUGGGGGCAGCCUAGGCUGUAGUCCUGGUGCUGCACCACUAGCUGUAGAGCCUUGGCCAAGUCAUGUCCCUCCUGAUUUUUCCAUUAUGUCAACUGGAAAAUAUAGUCAGGCUGCCUGCCCUGUGUGCCUCACAGCACAGUCUGAAGCAUGAGCUGAUGGAAUACAUGUGCAAGCAUAUUACAUAGUUUGAGGAAGUAUUCACGUAUAC
rnacentral:lncRNA from 1 species